CCUACGGGAGGCUGCAGUGGGGAAUAUUGGACAAUGGGCGAAAGCCUGAUCCAGCCAUGCCGCGUGUGUGAAGAAGGCCUUCGGGUUGUAAAGCACUUUCAGUGGGGAAGAAAGUCUUGGGGCUAAUACCCUCGAGGAAGGACAUCACCCACAGAAGAAGCACCGGCUAACUCCGUGCCAGCAGCCGCGGUAAUACGGAGGGUGCGAGCGUUAAUCGGAAUUACUGGGCGUAAAGCGCGCGUAGGCGGUCUGAUAAGCCGGUUGUGAAAGCCCCGGGCUCAACCUGGGAACGGCAUCCGGAACUGUCAGGCUAGAGUGCAGGAGAGGAAGGUAGAAUUCCCGGUGUAGCAGUGAAAUGCGUAGAGAUCGGGAGGAAUACCAGUGGCGAAGGCGGCCUUCUGGACUGACACUGACGCUGAGGUGCGAAAGCGUGGGUAGCAAACAGGAUUAGAUACCCGAGUAGUC
rnacentral:rRNA from 1 species